rnacentral:tRNA from 2 species
UCCUCGGUAGCUCAAUGGCAGAGCAUGCGGCUGUUAACCGCAGGGUUGUAGGUUCGAGUCCUACCCGGGGAG